rnacentral:sRNA from 1 species
GCCGGGUGUGGUGGCAUAUACCUGUGGUCCCAGUUACAUGGGAGGCUGAGGCAGGAGGAUUGCCUGAACCCAGGAGGUCCAGACUGCAGUGAGCCAUGUUUGUGCCACUGCACUCCAGCCUAGGUGACAGAGCACCUGUGGUUCCAGCUACCUGGGAGGCAGAGUUGGGAAGUUCACCUGAUCCUGGGUGGUUGAAGUCACAGUGAACUCAGAUGACGCCACUGCACUCCAGCUUGGGCAACAGAGCAAGACCCUGUCUCA